GACGAACGCUGGCGGCGUGCUUAACACAUGCAAGUCGAACGGAAAGGCCCUGCUUUGGUGGGGUGCUCGAGUGGCGAACGGGUGAGUAACACGUGAGUAACCUGCCCUUGACUUUGGGAUAACUUCAGGAAACUGGGGCUAAUACCGGAUAGGAGCUCCUGCUGCAUGGUGGGGGUUGGAAAGUUUCGGCGGUUGGGGAUGGACUCGCGGCUUAUCAGCUUGGUGGUGGGGUAGUGGCUUACCAAGGCUUUGAGGGGUAGCCGGCCUGAGAGGGUGACCGGCCACAUUGGGACUGAGGUACGGCCCAGACUCCUACGGGAGGCAGCAGUGGGGAAUAUUGCACAAUGGGCGGAAGCCUGAUGCAGCAACGCCGCGUGCGGGAUGACGGCCUUCGGGUUGUAAACCGCUUUCGCCUGUGACGAAGCGUGAGUGACGGUAAUGUGUAAAGAAGCACCGGCUAACUACGUG
rnacentral:rRNA from 1 species